rnacentral:lncRNA from 1 species
GGUGGAGACCGGGGCCCUGGAGACAUGGCAUUUGUAUGUAAGGUUUGAUGAAUAUCUACAAUGUACCGCACUGCUAGACAGAAGGAUAAAAGGUGUACCAGAUAAGUAAAUAGCCUGCCAUCAUGAAAGUGGGAAACACACGAAAUAAGCAGGAAACAUCACUGAUUCUCACAGCCUAGAGUACUUAGUGACUACUGCCUCUGACCAAAGCAGAAUUCUCUCCUCUGCUGUUUCUGACUUGUGCCAAUAUGAAGAACUCCUUGGAGCCUAUCAUCUCAUCAGCGCCAACUAUAGUCCAUGAUGAAGGUUUGGGAAUGAUACAUGGUUCACUAGGCUGGCCUGGAAUUCACCUGAAGCUC